rnacentral:misc_RNA from 1 species
GAUGAAGAACGCAGCGAAAUGCGAUAAGUAAUGUGAAUUGCAGAAUUGCAGAAUUCAGUGAAUCAUCGAAUCUUUGAACGCACAUUGCGCCCCCUGGUAUUCCGGGGGGCAUGCCUGUCCGAGCGUCAUUACAACCCUCAAGCUCAGCUUGGUGUUGGGCCCCGCCGCCCCGGCGGGCCCUAAAGUCAGUGGCGGUGCCGUCCGGCUCCGAGCGUAGUAAUUCUUCUCGCUCUGGAGGUCCGGUCGUGUGCUCGCCAGCAACCCCCAAUUUUUUUCAGGUUGACCUCGGAUCAGGUAGGGAUACCCGCUGAACUUAAGCAUAUCAAUAAGCGGAGGA